AGGUCUCGCCCAUCGAGGUCGUCUAGCCGUGGUCCUCGCUCUAGUACCCAAGGAAACGCCGAGCUGAUCCGGGUGCAGGAAGCUUUGAGGCGGCAGGAGGAGUAUAACAAGCAACAACAAGAGUACUGGGCUGCUCAAUUUGCACGACAGCAGGAGAUGAUGCAGCAAAUAGCACUAGGACAACGUCCAGAUUUUUCAGCGAUGACUAUGCCACCUCCUCCACCUAUCCCGCAGUUUGUACCGACUCCACAAUUUAGUUGGCCCACACCUGCACCUCAGGUCCCUCCAGGAAACUUGCUAACUCCGGGAAAUGAGGACUCUGAAGAUGCAGUCGCUUCUUUUGUGGACGGUCUUCUA